rnacentral:misc_RNA from 1 species
UCCCGGUUACCCGGGCAGUUCUGUGUGUCAGCGAUAACACACCGUAAGGGUUGCGCUCGUUACCCGACUGAACGGAACAGCUCACGCCACGAGCUGACGACAACCAUGCAGCACCUGUGGUACACCCUCGAAGGUCACACAUUUCUGUGCGCUUGCAGUACCAUGUCAAACCUCGGUUAGGUUCUUCGCUUACCGUCGAAUUAAACCACAUGCUCCACCGCUUGUGUGGAUCCCCGUCAAUUCCUUUGGGUUUUAGCCUUGCGGCCGUACUAUCCAGGCGGGAUACUUAACGCGUUAGCUUCGAUACCGAUGGGGUCAAUUCCACCGAUACCUAGUAUCCAUCGUUUACGGCGUGGACUAC